rnacentral:rRNA from 1 species
AAUCCAUAGGUUAAUGAGGCGAACCGGGGGAACUGAAACAUCUAAGUACCCCGAGGAAAAGAAAUCAACCGAGAUUCCCCCAGUAGCGGCGAGCGAACGGGGAGGAGCCCAGAGCCUGAAUCAGCAUGUGUGUUAGUGGAAGCGUCUGGAAAGGCGCGCGAUACAGGGUGACAGCCCCGUACACAAAAGCGCAUGUGCUGUGAGCUCGAUGAGUAGGGCGGGACACGUGGUAUCCUGUCUGAAUAUGGGGGGACCAUCCUCCAAGGCUAAAUACUCCUGACUGACCGAUAGUGAACCAGUACCGUGAGGGAAAGGCGAAAAGAACCCCGGCGAGGGGAGUGAAAAAGAACCUGAAACCGUGUACGUACAAGCAGUGGGAGCACAGGUUUACCUGUGUGACUGCGUACCUUUUGUAUAAUGGGUCAGCGACUUAUAUUCUGUAGCAAGGUUAACCGAAUAGGGGAGCCGGAGGGAAACCGAGUCUUAACCGGGCGUUAAGUUGCAGGGUAUAGACCCGAAACCCGGUGAUCUAGCCAUGGGCAGGUUGAAGGUUGGGUAACACUAACUGGAGGACCGAACCGACUAAUGUUGAAAAAUUAGCGGAUGACCUGUGGCUGGGGGUGAAAGGCCAAUCAAACCGGGAGAUAGCUGGUUCUCCCCGAAAGCUAUUUAGGUAGCGCCUCGUGAAUUCAUCUCCGGGGGUAGAGCACUGUUUCGGCUAGGGGGCCAUCCCGGCUUACCAACCCGAUGCAAACUGCGAAUACCGGAGAAUGUUAUCACGGGAGACACACGGCGGGUGCUAACGUCCGUCGUGAAGAGGGAAACAACCCAGACCGCCAGCUAAGGUCCCAAAGUCAUGGUUAAGUGGGAAACGAUGUGGGAAGGCCCAGACAGCCAGGAUGUUGGCUUAGAAGCAGCCAUCAUUUAAAGAAAGCGUAAUAGCUCACUGGUCGAGUCGGCCUGCGCGGAAGAUGUAACGGGGCUAAACCAUGCACCGAAGCUGCGGCAGCGAACGUAUCACUUAAAGCGAUUCAGCGGGUUACGAUUGACGGAGCGAAGCGACGUCAAAGCGUAUACAAAGUCGAGUCGGUUUAAGGAUACGUUCGUUGGGUAGGGGAGCGUUCUGUAAGCCUGUGAAGGUGUGUCGUGAGG